GUAUUGGGGAUACUUAGGUGAGAAAAAAACUUAACGCUAGAGACGUUCACGCACUAGUGGAGAAGCCAGGAUUGUUGCCCUAGAGUUACAGUAGAUAAAAGUACCUCAGAGAACUGCGGGGGCUCCCAACCUGGACGCUUGCACCGGAGUAUUAAAUCCAGCUAGAGAAUGGCAUGUGCAAAGAUACAGAGCUUUUAGAAGUUGCCUGCAUUCCUUGGCCCCUUCCUCACAUCAUUCCAACCAACUUCCAUCCUUACAAUCGAUUACUUUCCUGUAAUAGCUACAGUCAAAUGGGCAGCUGAAGAUGAUGAUGAUGAUGAUCUUGACACCGAGAAGCAGAAGACCAAUGAAGAUGACCAGACAGCAAAAAAGGAUAAGUUAAAAGAAGCACUUUGGCUGGCCUGGAUUUCUUGCUUGGUGGUGGGACUAUGACUGUCCCUGAAGUCCUUAUGAUUGCCUUACCCUUGAUAUGAUCAUGAUUACUACAAAUAGCCUGUUCAUCAUUACCACUGGAUUUGUUCCUGAGCUGACACUUAACUGAGCCUUACCAGAACAUUCCACCAUCAUCUGCCAGGGUCUGUUUUAUUGCAGAAGCCAUAGAGGUGAUCUGAAUAGAGAUAUAAUGGGCAUAAACAGGCUUGUGUCCUCUAAGUCUGUUCUGAUGGUGUUAAUCUCUGCAGUUCUUUCUGGGAUGCAAUAUUGCUUCUACUGAUGGGGGCAGUGAAGUGUCUGGGUAACUUCAGGGGCUUCCACUUGGCCCUUUCUACUACAGACUCUUACUCGGCUGGAUGUGGUGGCUCACGCCUGUAAUUCCAGCACUUUGGGAGGCCGAGGCGGGCGGAUCAC
rnacentral:lncRNA from 1 species